CAAAGACCUUCCUGGCUUCCUUUCAAAUUAACCCAUGGCCCAAGUCCUGGUUUGAGGCCAUACCUGCCAGGCAGAAAGCCUCAGGAUGAGGGAUCCUUGGAUGCUAGGAUAAUUGGCUUGAUGACCCUAGCAUGAGGCAGACGACUCCAGAUGCACGUACCCCUGGCUUCUAGGUUUGUGGCUUCAGCACAGCCAGACAUGCCAACAUUUCCCAGGCUUUUUAUGCACUGGGCAACCUGAAAAUCCUAUGGCCCCCAGCUCCAACCAGAAAAGUUAACAUGGUGUGCCAGGCAGUGGCUUCAGGAAGUGCUCAAGAAUAUCUGUUUCAUGAGGCAACCUUCUGGGACCCACUCUCUUUUCAGAAACAGUGUAUGUUGGUGUUGCUGGAAGGAAACACUCUCAGAAUCUCUUGCUUGUGGGAAAUUCCAAAAUUUAGGGGAAGGAAGCAGAGUGGGAGGUCAGUCCAAUUCAGAACUGAACCAAAUGAAGAAGAGGAAGAAGAAGAGGAAGAGGAAGAAGAGGAGGAGGAGGAAGAAGAGGAAGAAAAAGAAUCCUACAAUCUGGAAGUCCUAUUUCUGGGCUGGCACCAAGAAGGACUCUUUCCAGGGGAAGAGGGAAAAGUCAAAAUGUUGGGGGAAUCUAAGAAAAUACAGCAAUUGCCAGCUGCACAAAGCCCGGCCCUCCUUUCGUUUUGGCCUCCCGACAAGAUCGUCCUAUCUGCCAACACACAUGCACAGGCAGCUUCGUCUCCACGACCCGCCUCUGGGAGAAACUGGCCACGAAGCCUUGGGAAAGAGAAGGACGUCUAUGCUUGUGCCUGCUGAAGAACGUCAGCCUGAUGUUCCCAAGAGCCUGGAUCUAGUUACAACCCUGUACAACCCUGGGAGGUAGGACAUACUGUGCCCAUCUCACUGAAGCACAAGGGUCAAGAUUUGGUGAAGUCUGGGCACCUAUAAUUGAAUGGGAGCAACACAUGCUUGAUGCCUG
rnacentral:lncRNA from 1 species